rnacentral:tRNA from 1 species
AGGGAUGUAGCUCAGUGGUAUAGUACAUGCUUCGUAUGCAUGAGGUCCUGGGUUUGAUUACCAGCACCUCCC